rnacentral:lncRNA from 1 species
CUUCUGCACUGGUAAAUGGUUUCUAUAGCAGCAGCAAGGUUGGCAAACAGGGCUGGGCAGAGACAGCAAGAGUUUCCAAUCUCCCAAGGCAUUUAAGCUGUUACGCUUCUGCACUGCUCCUUCCUCUGAACGAUACAUGCAGGAGAUGCAGCCUGAAAAGUCAAAGAAAUUCUCUGCUUCAAAAAUGACUCACACACGCAACCUGGCACCUAGUUUCAAACAAAUGGACACACUGAGUUCAAUUGAGGCAGAGUACAUAAAGAAUCUACAGAAAGAAGUCUACCUACUGGAACUUGAGACAUCAUUUCUAUAUCCUUUAACAAAACCAGAACUUUAUUAUUUAAAAAGCUAUUUAUUUUCUCUGACAGAA